rnacentral:rRNA from 2 species
CUGCAGUCGAGCGGAUGAAGGGAGCUUGCUCCUGGAUUCAGCGGCGGACGGGUGAGUAAUGCCUAGGAAUCUGCCUGGUAGUGGGGGAUAACGUUCCGAAAGGAACGCUAAUACCGCGUACGUCCUACGGGAGAAAGCAGGGGACCUUCGGGCCUUGCGCUAUCAGAUGAGCCUAGGUCGGAUUAGCUAGUUGGUGAGGUAAUGGCUCACCAAGGCGACGAUCCGUAACUGGUCUGAGAGGAUGAUCAGUCACACUGGAACUGAGACACGGUCCAGACUCCUACGGGAGGCAGCAGUGGGGAAUAUUGGACAAUGGGCGAAAGCCUGAUCCAGCCAUGCCGCGUGUGUGAAGAAGGUCUUCGGAUUGUAAAGCACUUUAAGUUGGGAGGAAGGGCUGUAGGCUAAUAUCCUGCGGUUUUGACGUUACCAACAGAAUAAGCACCGGCUAACUUCGUGCCAGCAGCCGCGGUAAUACGAAGGGUGCAAGCGUUAAUCGGAAUUACUGGGCGUAAAGCGCGCGUAGGUGGUUCGUUAAGUUGGAUGUGAAAGCCCCGGGCUCAACCUGGGAACUGCAUCCAAAACUGGCGAGCUAGAGUACGGUAGAGGGUAGUGGAAUUUCCUGUGUAGCGGUGAAAUGCGUAGAUAUAGGAAGGAACACCAGUGGCGAAGGCGACUACCUGGACUGAUACUGACACUGAGGUGCGAAAGCGUGGGGAGCAAACAGGAUUAGAUACCCUGGUAGUCCACGCCGUAAACGAUGUCAACUAGCCUUGGAAUCCUUGAGAUUUUAGUGGCGCACUAACGCAUUAAUUGACCGCCUGGGGAGUACGGCCCAAGGUUAAAACUCAAAUGAAUUGAC